rnacentral:rRNA from 1 species
UACGGAGGAUUCGAGCGUUAUCCGGAUUUAUUGGGUUUAAAGGGUGCGUAGGCGGGAGAUCAAGUCAGCGGUAAAAAUGCGGGGCCCAACCCCGUCGAGCCGUUGAAACUGGUUUUCUUGAGUGGGCGAGAGGCAGGCGGAAUUCCUAGUGUAGCGGUGAAAUGCGUAGAUAUUAGGAGGAACACCAGUGGCGAAGGCGGCCUGCUGGACGAUGACUGACGUUGAGGCUCGAAAGCGUGGGGAGCAAACAGG